rnacentral:rRNA from 1 species
ACGGGAGGCAGCAGUGGGGAAUAUUGGACAAUGGGGGCAACCCUGAUCCAGCGACGCCGCGUGAGUGAAGAAGUAUUUCGGUAUGUAAAGAUCUAUCAGCAAGGAAGAAAAUGACGGUACUUGACUAAGAAGCCCCGGCUAACUACGUGCCAGCAGCCGCGGUAAUACGUAGGGGGCAAGCGUUAUCCGGAUUUACUGGGUGUAAAGGGAGCGUAGACGGCAAUGUAAGUCUGAAGUGAAAGCCCCGGGCUCAACCCGGGAACUGCAUUGGAAACUGGAGAGCUAGAGUGCAGUAGAGGUAAGUGGAAUUCCUAGUGUAGCGGUGAAAUGCGUAGAUAUUAGGAGGAACACCAGUGGCGAAGGCGGCUUACUGGACUGUAACUGACGUUGAGGCUCGAAAGCGUGGGGAGCAAACAGGAUUAGAUACCCUGGUA